rnacentral:lncRNA from 1 species
CCAACCUUUCCUUAGGAGUCUCCACCAAAAGACAUAAAAAAAAAUAAGGAAAAGAAGGACAUAGAGAAACAAAGGGAUAGAAAGCCAAGAAAAGAGGAUUGAGAAGGAUCCGCGGACCUACCAAAGAGUUACAAGAGAUGGGGGACUUUGAUAGGGACUUGGUGGACACCACAAAGCAAAUGAUGGGGGAGGACAACAACAAGUCUG